UACGGGGGGGGGGCAAGCGUUGUUCGGAAUUACUGGGCGUAAAGGGCUCGUAGGCGGCCAACUAAGUCGGAUGUGAAAUCCCCAGGCUUAACCUGGGAACUGCAUCCGAUACUGGAUGGCUUGAAUUCGGGAGAGGGAUGCAGAAUUCCAGGUGUAGCGGUGAAAUGCGUAGAUAUCUGGAGGAAUACCGGUGGCGAAGGCGGCAUCCUGGACCGAGAUUGACGCUGAUGAGCGAAAGCUAGGGGAGCAAACGGG
rnacentral:rRNA from 1 species